rnacentral:rRNA from 1 species
GAUGAACGCUAGCGGGAGGCUUAACACAUGCAAGUCGAGGGGCAACACGGGGUAGCAAUACUCUGGUGGCGACCGGCGCACGGGUGAGUAACGCGUAUACAAUUUACCUUUUACUAGGGGAUAGCCCAGAGAAAUUUGGAUUAAUACCCUAUAGUAUUAUCGGAUCGCAUGGUUUGAUAAUUAAAGUUUCGGCGGUAAGAGAUGAGUAUGCGUCCUAUUAGCUAGAUGGUAAGGUAACGGCUUACCAUGGCUAUGAUAGGUAGGGGUCCUGAGAGGGAGAUCCCCCACACUGGUACUGAGACACGGACCAGACACCUACGGGAGGCUG